rnacentral:rRNA from 1 species
GGCAGGCUUAACACAUGCAAGUCGAGCGGGGGUAGCAAUACGUCAGCGGCAGACGGGUGAGUAACGCGUGGGAACGUACCUUUUGUUCGGAACAACACAGGGAAACUUGUGCUAAUACCGGAUAAGCCCUUACGGGGAAAGAUUUAUCGCCGAAAGAUCGGCCCGCGUCUGAUUAGCUAGUUGGUAGGGUAAUGGCCUACCAAGGCGACGAUCAGUAGCUGGUCUGAGAGGAUGAUCAGCCACAUUGGGACUGAGACACGGCCCAAACUCCUACGGGAGGCAGCAGUGGGGAAUAUUGGACAAUGGGGGCAACCCUGAUCCAGCCAUGCCGCGUGAGUGAUGAAGGCCCUAGGGUUGUAAAGCUCUUUUGUGCGGGAAGAUAAUGACGGUACCGCAAGAAUAAGCCCCG